UUAAGUCUGUUAAAUAUGUUUGUUGGGUUUCUCUCAUGUUACAUUCGUUCUUCCUUUUAAUCAAUUUGGCAAGGAACGGGAUAUGAAAAAAUCUUUCUUUCCAACAAGUUAAAGGAUAUUUGCAAAAAUAUCAAAAAGUUGCAUUGCCUAAAGAAAAGCAUGUCCAUGCUGCUUUCGCCACUAGGCAGGUAUAAAUUAUCAGUUUUUUGUUUUACAAAAAUGAAAUCGUUGACUAAUACGUUUUGUCUAAUGAAAAGUGUGUUUUUUAUUUUUCCAGGAAUCAAUGCAGUCGAGAUUGUCAAGAUCAAUUCACUUAUAUUCUUGGAGGUUGAAGAACGUGGGGAUAAUGCCAGAUCAAUAUGUGCAACA
rnacentral:lncRNA from 1 species